rnacentral:rRNA from 1 species
AUGGGCGCAAGCCUGAUGCAGCCAUGCCGCGUGUGUGAAGAAGGCCUUCGGGUUGUAAAGCACUUUCAGUCGUGAGGAAGGUAGUGUAGUUAAUAGCUGCAUUAUUUGACGUUAGCGACAGAAGAAGCACCGGCUAACUCCGUGCCAGCAGCCGCGGUAAUACGGAGGGUGCGAGCGUUAAUCGGAAUUACUGGGCGUAAAGCGCAUGCAGGUGGUUUGUUAAGUCAGAUGUGAAAGCCCGGGGCUCAACCUCGGAAUAGCAUUUGAAACUGGCAGACUAGA